GAUGAACGCUAGCGACAGGCCUAACACAUGCAAGUCGAGGGGCAGCGGGGAGGUAGCAAUACCUUUGCCGGCGACCGGCGCACGGGUGAGUAACACGUAUGCAAUCCACCUGUAACAGGGGGAUAACCCGGAGAAAUCCGGACUAAUACCCCAUAAUAUGGGCGCUCCGCAUGGGGAUAUUUGCUAAAGAUUCAUCGCUGAUAGAUAGGCAUGCGUUCCAUUAGGCAGUUGGCGGGGUAACGGCCCACCAAACCGACGAUGGAUAGGGGUUCUGAGAGGAAGGUCCCCCACAUUGGUACUGAGACACGGACCAGACUCCUACGGGAGGCAGCAGUGAGGAAUAUUGGUCAAUGGGCGAGAGCCUGAACCAGCCAAGUCGCGUGGAGGAAGACGGCCCUACGGGUUGUAAACUCCUUUUAUACGGGAAUAAAGUUUCCUACGUGUAGGAUUUUGUAUGUACCGUAUGAAUAAGCAUCGGCUAACUCCGUGCCAGCAGCCGCGGU
rnacentral:rRNA from 1 species